CUUUCUCCGCCGGCGACCGGCGCACGGGUGAGUAACACGUAUGCAACCUGCCCCUGUCAGGGGGACAACCCGCCGAAAGGCGGGCUAAACCCGCGUACAUGCCACCGGGGCAUCCCGGAGGCAGGAAAGGCUUCGGCCGGACAGGGAUGGGUAUGCGGCGCAUUAGGCAGUAGGCGGGGUAACGGCCCACCUAACCGACGAUGCGUAGGGGUUCUGAGAGGAAGGUCCCCCACACUGGUACUGAGACACGGACCAGACUCCUACGGGAGGCAGCAG
rnacentral:rRNA from 1 species